GAGUUGAAUUUUUAAUUUUUUGAGGAACCUCCAUACUGUUUUCUAUAAUGGCUGUACCUGUUUACAUUCCUAAUAGCCGUGUAGGGGGGUUCC